AACGGCCGUACCAUGCUGAAUAUACCGGUUCUCGUUAGAUCACCGAAGUCAAGCAUCAUUGGGCGCAGUCAGUACUUGGGUGGGUGACCACCUGGGAACACUGCGUGCCGUU